AUUGAACGCUGGCGGCAUGCCUUACACAUGCAAGUCGAACGGCAGCACGGACUUCGGUCUGGUGGCGAGUGGCGAACGGGUGAGUAAUGUAUCGGAACGUACCUUUCAGUGGGGGAUAACGUAGCGAAAGUUACGCUAAUACCGCAUAUUCUGUGAGCAGGAAAGCAGGGGACCGCAAGACCUUGCGCUGAUUGAGCGGCCGAUAUCAGAUUAGCUAGUUGGUGGGGUAAAGGCCUACCAAGGCGACGAUCUGUAGCGGGUCUGAGAGGAUGAUCCGCCACACUGGAACUGAGACACGGUCCAGACUCCUACGGGAGGCAGCAGUGGGGAAUUUUGGACAAUGGGGGCAACCCUGAUCCAGCCAUGCCGCGUGAGUGAAGAAGGCCUCGGUU
rnacentral:rRNA from 1 species